AAACGGGCUCAGUCAAGUGUGAAAAGGAGAAUUUGAGAGAUAGCAACGAUGUGGUGCUGCACUGCUGCUCUCUUACUGCUAGCUUGCUACUUCUAGCUGAAUUUUGCUAUUUCUGCUAGCUGAAUUUUGCAUAGGCAUGGCGAGCUGUUUGAUUUCGUGGCAGGCCUGCUUAUCCUCAAUGUGUUCUGACUCGGAGGUUGGAGCCAGUUCGCAACUUUGAAUGUUGAAGCUGACAACGGACUCAAGCACUCCACCAUAUUCUUAGUAUUGCAUACCGUCACCGCUAAGGACUUAGCCAAGCUGCUUUUAAAAGUCAUAUAACAACUAAGUGCUAGAUAUUGUCAUAGAUAGAUUUUGGUGGAUAGGAAUUUAAUAAGCUACAAAGUAGUGUAGGUCGAGAUGAACAAAGAAUGGUAUGCAAAAUGUGUAACAUUAUUUGAUACAUUUACAUUGACAGGUCUGGACUCGCUGGAGGGUUGUAUGCUUUUGAUUGAUGAAGCUUAACACUUCUGCUCACUCAUUAUUUAUUCUAUAUUCAUAAAAUAUAUAUUUAUUUUGUACUAUAUCAUAGCAUGUUUGACGGGCAGAAGAAGAGACGGCCAUGGUGCUAGCUGAUAGCACCUGCUAACUUAAGAAGUCUACAUACCUUUUAUCUAAUAACUAAAAGAGAGUUUCUUACCAACUACUGAGCUUACAAGUCUUAGAUCUGUCUCUAAAGCCACUACUCAACUUCAUGUUGGUACUUUGCUGUAGAGUAUACCUCUAUAAUUCUCCAUCUAAGAUAGUACUAAAGUUUAUUGAUGAUGCUUAGUUUCAGGAUAUGCCUUACAAGCCAUCCAUGUGAGAUAUCCAAGGGGUUCAAGACGGAUUGAAAAGGAGCUGGAGUAGGUGGUCGAUUGAGGAAGGAGCUGGAGCAGAGGUGGAAUCGAGGCUGCCCCUACGUGCGCUAAGAAGCUGCCAGAAAUUAUGAGGCGCCUGCCAUCCGGACACUGCUGCGCUUUCUCCAUCUCUCAAGAUAAUUUUCUUCAGUUCAUCGAACUACGUGCUGAAACAUGUGUAUUGUUUCUCAAUAUAUCGGGCAUCAACCCACCUCCCAUGAGAUCUCUGAAUUUUCGACGCAUAUUACAUUUGCUGAAUUAUUUCCUCCAGAUAACUAUGCUUGGAUUCACAAAUGCGCGCAAUGCUUUCAAGUAGAGGUUAGUUCUACUUAAGCUGUGCUAUUCCACUUUCAAGUUUUUGGUCCUAGAAGUGUAAUACUUGGUAGGUUAGCUGUAGAAGCAGAAUGUAUAUGGCCUGAAUUUAUAUUUCAGAGUGUAUAAUCUGAUUCAGAGUAUUUUGACCCCUUGUGUUCUGAAACGUUGUGUUGUAUCAUUCUGUCCUGAAAGAAUAGAAGCAAUUCUUCUCUGGGAGAGAAUAUAAACGUUAUUCGCAAACAACAUGCAUCGUCAUUAAGUUUCUUAUUACCAAUUUAAACAUGGUCAGUAAUAGCACAACUAAAGUUUGUGAACAACAUAUCAUUAUGAAAUGGUUGGUUGGAUUGAGUUUUGUAUGGAUUCUACAAGGGCCAUUUCUAUGGAAUUACAAAUUAGUUUUACAUUUUUAUGGCUGGGCUCAUUGUCUUUCGAUUGCCCACAUUCGGAUGGGUUUGUUAUCAAGUGGACAC